GCGGAUAUAGUAUAGUGGUAAGUCAACUUUCACAACAUCAUCCCAAGUCAAUCUACUCACACCUAUUAGGUUAGUACACCUCGUUGUGGAGUACUCAGCUUACCGAGGAGACCCGUGUUCGAUUCACGGUAUCCGCA